rnacentral:rRNA from 1 species
GGGUGGUAAUACCGGAUGCUCCGCUCCAUCGCAUGGUGGGGUGGGAAAUGCUUUUGCGGCAUGGGAUGGGGUCGCGUCCUAUCAGCUUGUUGGCGGGGUGAUGGCCCACCAAGGCGUUGACGGGUAGCCGGCCUGAGAGGGUGACCGGCCACAUUGGGACUGAGAUACGGCCCAGACUCCUACGGGAGGCAGCAGUGGGGAAUAUUGCACAAUGGGCGCAAGCCUGAUGCAGCGACGCCGCGUGCGGGAUGGAGGCCUUCGGGUUGUAAACCGCUUUUGUUCAAGGGCAAGGCACGGUUUCGGCCGUGUUGAGUGGAUUGUUCGAAUAAGCACCGGCUAACUACGUGCCAGCAGCCGCGGUAAUACGUAGGGUGCGAGCGUUAUCCGGAUUUAUUGGGCGUAAAGGGCUCGUAGGCGGUUCGUCGCGUCCGGUGUGAAAGUCCAUCGCCUAACGGUGGAUCUGCGCCGGGUACGGGCGGGCUGGAGUGCGGUAGGGGAGACUGGAAUUCCCGGUGUAACGGUGGAAUGUGUAGAUAUCGGAAAGAAACA